rnacentral:lncRNA from 1 species
CUUAACACUUGUUUCACUUCACAUGUUGACUUUCUAAAAUGCUAAGGCCACAAUCAUGUAAGACCAAGAGGUAUGAAAGCUUUCCUGCUGUUCUUUUAUAGAUGUUUAUAGAAACAGCCUACUUUACCUCAAUGCUAACUACAACAGUAAACACCAUGCAGGCAGUGGCAUGCAGUCAUGGAUGCCAAGGGAAGCCAGGCUUCCCCCAAAAAUUCACCAAUAAAAAAAAAACGGAUGUAUAAUUUAUUUUUCGUCUCUGUGUUACAUUUAGCCUGAAGGAAUAUUAUGAAUCUCACAGGAGGAGAAAGCAUCCGAGCGAGCGAAACAGUGCCCCUGUCUCAGCCAUCUGAUGCUGUCUGGUCCAAACGAGUAUGACAUUGUUGCCGCCCGUAGCUUUGACGGCAAGCGAAGCCAGCGGAGAAUCUGGGUUCCUUGACGAAAAAAGUAGCAUAUGAGAGCAUAUGUCAUUGACAGAAAAAUGUGAACUGUUGCAUCUCGUGGUGUUGUUGUCCUCCGGUGGCUAGCCAGCCAGCUAGCUAAAAUUGGCCCUUUCUUUAAUUAGCCAUGGAUGUAGAUAGGGAUUUGGACUUGUGGUUUCACUUAAUUCUCUGUACUGGCCAAUGAUUAUAACGGCAACUCUGAUCCAACUAUUAAUUCAUACAUUGUUGUGCCCCUGGCCUGAGAGAAUGGAAGUUCAAUAUGUAGCUAGAUGUAGAAUGCUAAUGUUAACUAGCUAACGUUUCCCAUGAAUGGAAGUUAGGCAAUCGAGCAAGCAUUUUAGCCAGUUAGCCUAGGACAACAAAAAAUAAAAGCGUGUACUGUAUGACAAAGUGAUAUAUCAUUUCGUAAACAUGAAAGAGGGGAGGGUGGCAUUGGCGUUUCUCUACAAGUAGGUUGUCACUGGCUUCCACAGUGAUUUUACCAACAGACCGCUGCAUGCAGG